rnacentral:rRNA from 1 species
AAUCAACGCUGGCGGCGUGCCUAACACAUGCAAGUCGAACGCGAAAAUCCCGAAAGGGAUCAGUAGAGUGGCAAACGGGUGAGUAACACGUGGGUGACCUGCCUUCGAGUGGGGGAUAACGUCCCGAAAGGGACGCUAAUACCGCAUGACAUCCUGCUCUUGAACGAGUGGAGAUCAAAGCUGGGGACCGCAAGACCUAGCGCUCAAAGAGGGGCCCGCGCCUGAUUAGCAGUUGGUGGGGUAACGGCUCACCAAGGCAACGAUCAGUAUCCGGCCUGAGAGGGCGGACGGACACACUGGGACUGAGACACGGCCCAGACUCCUACGGGAGGCAGCAGUGGGGAAUUGUUCGCAAUGGGCGCAAGCCUGACGACGCAACGCCGCGUGGGAGGAUGAAGACCUUCGAGUCGUAAACUCCUUUCG